UUAUACACCAAAUCAUUAUUUUAAUCCAACAUCGAGGUCGCAAACUUUAUUAUCAAUAAGAGCUAUUCAAUAAAAUUACGCUGUUAUCCCUUAGGUAACUUAAUAUUGUAAUCAAUAAAUAAUUGGAUCAAAAAAUCAAAAAUCAAUGAAAAAAUAAAAAAUAAAGUUAUUGAAAAUUAUCUGUCACCCCAACAGAAAAUUUUAAAAUAUAAAUAAAUGUAAACCUAAUAAUAAUUAUAAAUUAAAAGUUAAAGUUCUAAAGGGUCUUAUCGUCUAACAAUAAAAUUAAAGCUUUUUGACUUUAAAAUAAAAUUAAAAAUAAAAAAUAAAAAAAGAAUAUAUUUUAUCAAACCAUUCAUACAAGUUAUCAAUUAAAUAACAAAUUAUUAUGCUACCUUUGCACAGUUAAAAUACUGCGGCCAUUAAAAAAUCAUUG
rnacentral:rRNA from 1 species